CAUGACCUCAGAUCAGACGGGGCGACCCGCUAAGUUUAAGCAUAUCAAUAAGCGGAGGA
rnacentral:rRNA from 1 species